rnacentral:rRNA from 1 species
GAUGAACGCUGGCGGCGUGCCUAAUACAUGCAAGUCGAGCGAACGGACGAGAAGCUUGCUUCUCUGAUGUUAGCGGCGGACGGGUGAGUAACACGUGGAUAACCUACCUAUAAGACUGGGAUAACUUCGGGAAACCGUAGCUAAUACCGGAUAAUAUUUUGAACCGCAUGGUUCAAAAGUGAAAGACGGUCUUGCUGUCACUUAUAGAUGGAUCCGCGCUGCAUUAGCUAGUUGGUAAGGUAACGGCUUACCAAGGCAACGAUGCAUAGCCGACCUGAGAGGGUGAUCGGCCACACUGGAACUGAGACACGGUCCAGACUCCUACGGGAGGCAGCAGUAGGGAAUCUUCCGCAAUGGGCGAAAGCCUGACGGAGCAACGCCGCGUGAGUGAUGAAGGUCUUCGGAUCGUAAAACUCUGUUAUUAGGGAAGAACAUAUGUGUAAGUAACUGUGCACAUCUUGACGGUACCUAAUCAGAAAGCCACGGCUAACUACGUGCCAGCAGCCGCGGUAAUACGUAGGUGGCAAGCGUUAUCCGGAAUUAUUGGGCGUAAAGCGCGCGUAGGCGGUUUUUUAAGUCUGAUGUGAAAGCCCACGGCUCAACCGUGGAGGGUCAUUGGAAACUGGAAAACUUGAGUGCAGAAGAGGAAAGUGGAAUUCCAUGUGUAGCGGUGAAAUGCGCAGAGAUAUGGAGGAACACCAGUGGCGAAGGCGACUUUCUGGUCUGUAACUGACGCUGAUGUGCGAAAGCGUGGGGAUCAAACAGGAUUAGAUACCCUGGUAGUCCACGCCGUAAACGAUGAGUGCUAAGUGUUAGGGGGUUUCCGCCCCUUAGUGCUGCAGCUAACGCAUUAAGCACUCCGCCUGGGGAGUACGACCGCAAGGUUGAAACUCAAAGGAAUUGACGGGGACCCGCACAAGCGGUGGAGCAUGUGGUUUAAUUCGAAGCAACGCGAAGAACCUUACCAAAUCUUGACAUCCUUUGACAACUCUAGAGAUAGAGCCUUCCCCUUCGGGGGACAAAGUGACAGGUGGUGCAUGGUUGUCGUCAGCUCGUGUCGUGAGAUGUUGGGUUAAGUCCCGCAACGAGCGCAACCCUUAAGCUUAGUUGCCAUCAUUAAGUUGGGCACUCUAAGUUGACUGCCGGUGACAAACCGGAGGAAGGUGGGGAUGACGUCAAAUCAUCAUGCCCCUUAUGAUUUGGGCUACACACGUGCUACAAUGGACAAUACAAAGGGCAGCGAAACCGCGAGGUCAAGCAAAUCCCAUAAAGUUGUUCUCAGUUCGGAUUGUAGUCUGCAACUCGACUGCAUGAAGCUGGAAUCGCUAGUAAUCGUAGAUCAGCAUGCUACGGUGAAUACGUUCCCGGGUCU